rnacentral:rRNA from 1 species
UACGUAGGUGGCGAGCGUUGUCCGGAUUUACUGGGCGUAAAGGGCGCGUAGGCGGUUCGUUAAGUCCUGUGUGAAAUCCCCCGGCUCAACUGGGGAACUGCACAGGAAACUAGCGGGCUUGAGUUCGGGAGAGGGAAGCGGAAUUCCGGGUGUAGCGGUGAAAUGCGUAGAUAUCCGGAGGAACACCGGUGGCGAAGGCGGCUUCCUGGACCGACACUGACGCUGAGGCGCGAAAGCUAGGGGAGCAAACGGG